GAAAACUCAGUCGAUGGAAAUUGGAGAGUGGAGGAGACAGAUGUCUUCUGGCUCUUUCCUGCUUUGAAAAGGUUCUGAAUGCUGGGAUUAGAGUCACCACACUGGGUUUGGCCCUGCUGGGGAUUGAACCCAAGGGCUUCUAGCAUCCUAGACCUGUCCUGGAGCACUUCCUGGAGCCCACCAGACCAUGGUCUUGAUUGGCCCAGAAUGUGGGCUGAUGUGGGCCACACCCAGCCUUCUUCCCUUCCACGUCCCUCCAGUGUGGGUUGCUCAGUGGAUCAGGCUUAUCUUCGUGAUGUCUUAAGUGCACAACCAAUGAAGUGUCCUGGCUAUGUGGCCAUGCACCAGGAUCCUGGCCCAGUGACCAGGCCAUAGUUGCCAUGGCAAUGCCCUACCAUUGGACUGUCUCAUGGGCCCCACAAGCCACUGGAAUGUCUCAGAAAUACCACCCUUCAGGCAAACAUCCAAACCGCCUCUCCCAGACGGCAGCUCUCAAUUCUAGCAACAGGAAAAUCCUUUCAGAGCGUGUCCUGAUUUUGAGCUUGGAAACCAGAUGGCCACCAUGGCAAAGCUUGCCAUCCGCCCUCUUAUAUCCUCCCCCCCCCCCUUUCUCCCUCUCCAAUAGCAUGCUGUGGUUACAAACCUCAGGCAGAAUCUGAGCUCAGAUUCCAGUGUCUCCAUCUCUUCCCAGUCUUCCUAGCCUGUGCAGCUCCUGUGGCCCUGGCUUUGUCAU